rnacentral:lncRNA from 1 species
GAGCGUGGUCAGUUUGUCGUGAGAAAGGGUGUAGCAGUCACCACCAUUUAUUUCCUGAAGUCUCCACUUUUCCUGAUUUAAGCCUAGGUGAGAGGGCUUGACUAGCGGUGAGACCAGGUACACUCAGCAACUCAGCCCCGGAAGGAAGUUGCGAAACUAGCGUCUUCGGUUCCCAUGGUGACAGAGCCCGCUUCCGGUCUCUUGCAUCCGCUUUUCCUUUCUUAGUUACAAUCACAACUCCGAAAGCUACAAACGGCCGUUGGACGACAUGCGGUGGAAGGUGACAAGCCCCACUCCCAAGGUGGUAACCACGGUCAGCGUGGGAGUCGGACAGUGUGCCAGACCCUGAGAGUUCUCUGGCUUCCCUCUGCCCCAGACCCCCGCCCGGCAAACUAGACCCUUGUCCGAGCUCCCUCUCAGAGAGGCGCAUGCUCUGGCCUAAGGGUAUUUGACACAAGAUUAAAUGAGUUUAAGAAUUGCCCGUUCCCCUACACUACCUCCAGUGUCUAGCUUUAGUAUGUAAAUUAGGUCUCUGAAAUACCUUUUGUGGUCUGGAGAUCUCCAUUCCAUUUCCUUUCUCCUGUUACAUCUCAAAAGAGGAGGGGCUCCUCUUCUAAAGACAUUGACCUGUUAACUCCAGAUCCAUCCCCUCUCCCCGAUUUUAUCCAGUAAUUUGUCUCUUUGUUUACUCUGGAAGUAGCGACUUCAUGGGGGGUGGGGGCUUUCUUCUUUUUCAGCAGACAGG